rnacentral:tRNA from 1 species
GGGGAUGUAGCUCAGUCGGUAGAGCGCGACACUGGCAGUGUCGAGGUCCGGGGUUCAAUUCCCCGCGUCUCCACCA